rnacentral:lncRNA from 1 species
GGCUAAAACAAGAACUAUACAUACAUAAAGUGGGAGGACAAUUUUCAUAAGUUAAUAUACAGCUCUAGGAAUAUUUUGCCUUUACUUUUUUUAGGACAGUAUUAAUGCUUGUCUUUCAUUUAACCCCUUGAUAUUAGAAAGAUAUAAUUAAAACAUAACUUAGUAGGAACAUUGUGCCAACUUAAAACCUUGAUUUACUAGCAUCUCAACAUUUAGAUCCUUUGUCCAGUGGUAGUAGUUAUUGAAAAAUAUUUCGCUUACUCAGUAAGCCAAAGGGGCACUUAAAACCACACAAAGAAAAACAGUACUUUCCAUGUUUAGAUCUCAUUCUAGUUAUUUCGGUUACUAUGCUUUUUCAUUAUGAACCAGAUUUUCUAGCACCCUGCCCCUGGACUGGCUUGAAUUCAUAACAUCAUGGGUGGUAUUUCACUUGCAGGAAGUGAAGUUACAGUGACACUCAUAGCUAAGUACAUAAGUUGAAUGUAAGAUGCCAAAUAUUUGAACUGAACCCCACAGUUCUUAAACAGAUUGCUUGAAUUCUGUGUGAAUGAUUUGUUGGGAAUGUUCCCACAUAAUUUCAAAAUUGUUGUGUACCAGGGUAAAGCCUUAAUUUGUAUAUGCUGUAGCACAGAUUGCCUUGGGGAUGCUGUUUAGUUUGUGUUGUGUUUAACGUUUUUCUCAUAGGAGAAACCUGACUUCUGUACUAAAUCAUUUACUAUACAUUUAAAAAGCUGCUCUUUCAUAUUUGAGCUACAAAUGAAUGUUACCUUGUGGGAUACACAGCCUAGGUUUUAGCUAUAUGAGCCAUGUUUGUUAUGGUGCUAAUGUUCAAUAGCUACCUUUGAAUAAUUUUUUUCCAUUUCCUGUGAUGAUGGGCAAGUGGCAGAGCUCACCAGUUCACGCCUGGACAUGUUACAGGGCUUGGACCCUCCAGCUAGCUCUUUUGGGGCUUUGGUGGGAAGUAUAAAGUAUUUUUAUUUCUAAACCCAAGAACUUUAGAACUGAGUCAAACAAGAUCUCUAGCAGUAGUGGCCCUCUAAUUGUAAGCUCCAAGCUCCCUUCCCAAGUUGGGAGCAAUGGCUUUACUGCAUGCCCCUGAAAUGGCUGGAAGGGAUAUGAUCUUGUAAAUAGGAAAGCUGUUACUUAAAAAAAAAAAAAUUGUAUUGUUUACCUGGUAGCGAUGUAUCUCUUGAAAAUCAUUUUGUCAUGUUUACAAUGAUGUACCUUAUUGGUAACAAAGUAUUAGUUUGAUGUUUAACAAUAGUGCCUUUAGUAAAUUAUUUUACAACCAAAA